UGAAGCAUUUGAAAAAGAAUAAUUUCUUAUUCUUUUUCUGGAUAUUCGUCUUAAUGUACUUGUAGGUUUUUGUACUGCCAAUGGGACUGGAAUUUAAAAUGAGCAUGGCUGGACAGAUGCUUCCUGGAAAAAUCUGGUUUUCAGCUUCUCCUUCAAGGGUCAGUUGCCAUGUCUCAACACAUGUGGUAAAGAAGCAAGGCCAUCUGACCAACACUGCUUGAAUAACUAAGUCUUCAACCUGAAAGCUCUCAGAAAAUGUAUUUGGGCCAACAGCCUGGGAAGUGAUCUUCCUCAAGUUGUGUUAUCAGGUCUGUGAUAUAAUUAUUUAUCUUUGCUGAAUUGUUGAAGGUAUGCGGCAUGCAUCUGUAAUGAAUGACACAUACAACG